UACGUAGGGUGCAAGCGUUAAUCGGAAUUACUGGGCGUAAAGCGUGCGCAGGCGGUUUUGCAAGUCCGACGUGAAAUCCCCGGGCUUAACCUGGGAAUUGCGAUGGUGACUGCAAGGCUAGAGUUUGGCAGAGGGGGGUAGAAUUCCACGUGUAGCAGUGAAAUGCGUAGAGAUGUGGAGGAACACCGAUGGCGAAGGCAGCCCCCUGGGUCAAAACUGACGCUCAUGCACGAAAGCGUGGGGAGCAAACAGG
rnacentral:rRNA from 1 species